AAAGAAUGGUUAUCUGAUUGGCUUUCGGGACAGCAGGGGUCAGUGGUACCGCUUUUCUGAUCAGGGUGCAUUCCCUGCUCAUGCAGAAGUAAUUCGUCACAUGACGUCAAGCUACUUUAGCCUCGUCGAUGAUUGGCAAGAUGUUGCUGUGUGACCACAAUCUGCAUUGGAUGCAUAUCACAUACUGCGAAACUUCAAUAACCGUCAGAUCCAACGGCGGGAACUCAGAAGAGGGCCUUAGUACGGCUCAUCAUAAUGCUAUGUGAAGCUGUACGGUUAAGGACAGUGAGAACUUUGGUAUCCCGACGAAUGGCCUUGUUCACUAAUGCACCUAUAGACCCUCUCACACGUAAAAAGAUCAGAAGCUGGUCCCUCAUGUCUGGCUUUGCUGGACAUUGUUGGAGGCGAGAGCAUGACGAAAUCAACGGGUAUGAGCAGAGCGAGCUCGAUAAACUUGCUCAAUGUCAAGUGUUCAGUCCAGAAGAAGUUGCCGGUGAUCCUAAUGGGGAACUGAUGCUCAUUCUCUACAGUAAGGUUCAUUUCGGAGGGAUUGAGUAGCCUGACUGGCAAGUGUGCAGAUAUAAGAAUACAAUCAGUCAAU